CAUGCAAGUCGAGGGGCAGCAUUUCAGUUUGCUUGCAAACUGGAGAUGGCGACCGGCGCACGGGUGAGUAACACGUAUCCAACCUGCCGAUAACUCGGGGAUAGCCUUUCGAAAGAAAGAUUAAUACCCGAUGGUAUAAUCAGACCGCAUGGUCUUAUUAUUAAAGAAUUUCGGUUAUCGAUGGGGAUGCGUUCCAUUAGGCAGUUGGUGAGGUAACGGCUCACCAAACCUUCGAUGGAUAGGGGUUCUGAGAGGAAGGUCCCCCACAUUGGAACUGAGACACGGUCCAAACUCCUACGGGAGGCAGCAGUGAGGAAUAUUGGUCAAUGGGCGCAGGCCUGAACCAGCCAAGUAGCGUGAAGGAUGACUGCCCUAUGGGUUGUAAACUUCUUUUAUAUGGGAAUAAAGUUUUCCACGUGUGGAAUUUUGUAUGUACCAUAUGAAUAAGGAUCGGCUAACUCCGUGCCAGCAGCCGCGGUAAUACGGAGGAUCCGAGCGUUAUCCGGAUUUAUUGGGUUUAAANGGGAGCGUAGGUGGACAGUUAAGUCAGUUGUGAAAGUUUGCGGCUCAACCGUAAAAUUGCAGUUGAUACUGGCUGUCUUGAGUACAGUAGAGGUGGGCGGAAUUCGUGGUGUAGCGGUGAAAUGCUUAGAUAUCACGAAGAACUCCGAUUGCGAAGGCAGCUCACUGGACUGCAACUGACACUGAUGCUCGAAAGUGUGGGUAUCAAACAGGAUUAGAUACCCUGGUAGUCCACACAGUAAACGAUGAAUACUCGCUGUUUGCGAUAUACAGUAAGCGGCCAAGCGAAAGCAUUAAGUAUUCCACCUGGGGAGUACGCCGGCAACGGUGAAACUCAAAGGAAUUGACGGGGGCCCGCACAAGCGGAGGAACAUGUGGUUUAAUUCGAUGAUACGCGAGGAACCUUACCCGGGCUUAAAUUGCAUUUGAAUAAUCUGGAAACAGGUUAGCCGCAAGGCAAAUGUGAAGGUGCUGCAUGGUUGUCGUCAGCUCGUGCCGUGAGGUGUCGGCUUAAGUGCCAUAACGAGCGCAACCCUUAUCUUUAGUUACUAACAGGUCAUGCUGAGGACUCUAGAGAGACUGCCGUCGUAAGAUGUGAGGAAGGUGGGGAUGACGUCAAAUCAGCACGGCCCUUACGUCCGGGGCUACACACGUGUUACAAUGGGGGGUACAGAAGGCAGCUACCUGGUGACAGGAUGCUAAUCCCAAAAGCCUCUCUCAGUUCGGAUCGAAGUCUGCAACCCGACUUCGUGAAGCUGGAUUCGCUAGUAAUCGCGCAUCAGCCAUGGCGCGGUGAAUACGUUCCCGGGCCUUGUACACACCGCCCGUCAAGCCAUGAAAGCCGGGGGUACCUGAAGUACGAACCGCAAGGAG
rnacentral:rRNA from 1 species